AACGAACGCUGGCGGCAGGCCUAACACAUGCAAGUCGAGCGAGCCCUUCGGGGCUAGCGGCGGACGGGUUAGUAACGCGUGGGAACGUACCCUUCGGUUCGGAAUAACUCAGGGAAACUUGGGCUAAUACCGGAUACGUCCGUGAGGAGAAAGAUUUAUCGCCGAAGGAUCGGCCCGCGUUGGAUUAGCUAGUUGGUGGGGUAAUGGGCCUACCAAGGCGACGAUCCAUAGCUGGUCUGAGAGGAUGAUCAGCCACACUGGGACUGAGACACGGCCCAGACUCCUACGGGAGGCAGCAGUGGGGAAUAUUGGACAAUGGGCGAAAGCCUGAUGCAGCGACGCCG
rnacentral:rRNA from 1 species